GUAAGAUAGUUCAGUAGUAGAACACCUACUUAGUAUGCAGAAGGCCCUGGGUUCAAUCCCCAGUGCUCACU
rnacentral:tRNA from 1 species